rnacentral:lncRNA from 1 species
CGGUUGCCCAUAAGUAUCCUGAUAAAAUUCUUGGUUGACAUUAUUGUAACCAUAGUUACCAGAAUAGUCAACACCUUACUGAAUCAGCUGCUGAGCAGUGGGAUGGGAACCCAGUUCUGUUGCUUGUUGGUCAGAUGAUGCUUGGAAUCAGAGUCCAAACCUCAGAGAGCUGGGAGAUGCAACCUUGCCUGGCACAGUGGCCCAUUUGAUGCAUAGAGGAGGUCGACCCCUCCCAACACGAUGUGCCAGGGCAAGAACUCCAGAUGCACAACAAAACCCCGAGGUCCAGGAGCCAGUUCAGGGAGCAGCAC